GGGGGUGUAGCUCAGCGGGAGAGCACCUGCUUUGCAUGCAGGGGGCCAGGGGUUCGAUCCCCCUCACCUCCACCA
rnacentral:tRNA from 1 species